GAUGAACGCUGGCGGCGUGCCUAAUACAUGCAAGUCGAGCGAACAGAUGAGGAGCUUGCUCCUCUGACGUUAGCGGCGGACGGGUGAGUAACACGUGGAUAACCUACCUAUAAGACUGGGAUAACUUCGGGAAACCGGAGCUAAUACCGGAUAAUAUAUUGAACCGCAUGGUUCAAUAGUGAAAGACGGUUUUGCUGUCACUUAUAGAUGGAUCCGCGCCGCAUUAGCUAGUUGGUAAGGUAACGGCUUACCAAGGCAACGAUGCGUAGCCGACCUGAGAGGGUGAUCGGCCACGCUGGAACUGAGACACGGUCCAGACUCCUACGGGAGGCAGCAGUAGGGAAUCUUCCGCAAUGGGCGAAAGCCUGACGGAGCAACGCCGCGUGAGUGAUGAAGGUCUUCGGAUCGUAAAACUCUGUUAUUAGGGAAGAACAAAUGUGUAAGUAACUAUGCACGUCUUGACCGUACCUAAUCAGAAAGCCACGGCUAACUACGUG
rnacentral:rRNA from 1 species